UACUUCGUAGCUAUACAGGAGCCAGUUUUCCGUUUGAUCCCAGAUAUAUUUGCUGCUAUACCAAAGUGCGAUUUUUUUAUAGGGGAAACAUUUUCCUACAUUUUCUUAAAACAGUAUUGUCCUUCUAUGGUAGCAAACUAUGGUCAAGUAUCUUUCAUUUCCUAUACUGAGAAGUAGCUUUACUGUUUCUCGAGAGUAUGGUUUUGUUAACUGCUAAAUGCUAAGGUUCCUUUGUUUGUUGACAUAAAUUUCCCUGAUUCCUUCUGAUCCGGAAAAGCUUACUUUGGUAUUGUUUCUGCUCAGUUUUGCAUGCUUGCUCAUAGAUAAUGCAUCCCACCAGAACGGCAAUGCUUAUAGUUGCAGCAAUUAUGUUAUACUUUUGCACUACACCUCAUGUGUGUGUUCAUUGCAUCAUUAUGGUGUCCACUUGGAUUGUCAUAUUAAUAAUUGUAAAGGUGAAAUAGGUAUAAAAAUGGAUAUGAAGUAAUGCCAAGUUAAAAGUGAAUUUUGUUAGACUGAAUAUUUUUUUGUGGUAUUGUGCUCCAGUGAUUUGAAAAUUUGCUAUGCACCAUUAUUGUAUUAGAAAGAUGCAGAGUAUUAGCCUUACAUAACUCUCUUCUAUGUGUUCUUGCACCUCCGGAUCACUGUUUUUGGCCUAGGACCAUUUACAUGUCAAACAUGACAUUUAUGUGUCAAUUAAAUAUUUUCCAUUACUGUUCUUUUUUUUUUGUCCAUCCCACCCAUGUAUGGUUUGAAGAGAAUAAUUUUUAAUUUGGCUGCUCAUAUUCAGAAAAGUUCAUCACCAUCUGCUGAUGUUUGUGUGCUUGAUUUAUGUCAUUUUGUCAAGUGGCAUUAGCCACAUCAUAUCUACCUUCUAAAUAGCCACAUUGCUUUAUGGAAUGGAUGCAAAGUAGCUGAAUGGAACCCACAGGUGUAGUUUUUAUGGCGAGUUUUACAAGGUUUUACGUUUAUUCUAUGGGUCGUGGUUGAUAUAGUUUUGGUGUUCUGAGUGUAACCUUUGUUUGUGCCUUUCUUUUACCGGACUAUGUUAUAGAAAGAGUCAAGAUACUUCAACAAUGGUAGCCCAAUGGGGUAGUUCCUAAGUAUGUUUUGUUUAUCAAAAAAAAGUUCUGAAGUAUUGCUGGGAGAGAUGGCCAGACUGCUGGACCACCCUACGAGAAAUCAAUGGCAUGAAUGUGCUUACUUCUACAGACUUUGUGGCAUAAGCAAAAAUACUUAGACAUGUCUUGCCUCCCUCCGAAAGAAACCACAACUAUGAUUUACCAUCUCAAGUUUACCCUUCCAUUGUAGCAGACCAACAUGUCCUUGUUUCUUUAAUUGAUUUCUCAUUUCAUGUUUGCACUUCUAUUAACAGAACAACAUGUCAUAAAUGUGGUGCUGGGCAAACAGAAGAGAUGUUGUACAGAGUGACUCCAUAACUGAAGAGUAGACAAACAUUGUGCAAGGCAUUUUUGUUCAGUUCCUUUCAAAAAUGAAGGAAUUACAGUGCAUCUGACCUGUAAAGGAGUGUGACGGACAAAAUGCUAUGAAUCAGAGGAGUGGAGGGAAGAGUUUACCAACAACUUUUGAAGGGACAAAGUGUGACCUGGAUUCGAGAAACAAAAUGUGACCUGGAUUCCUAAGUUAUAGCCAACGUUGCAAAAUUGUAUAGAGAAUGCCCGCAUUUUGGAAACUCUACAUAGUUUGAGGCUAUGUUCCUUUCAAUUUUCAGCAUUAUUAAAAAAAUUCUUAUUGUUGCUAUUUUCAUGCAUUUAUUUUUAAAUAACUCUCGGUUUAAAAUGGGUGUUCUUUUUUUUAUUAUUGGGGGGGUGUAAAUUUGUUACCAUAUAUGCUUGCCC
rnacentral:lncRNA from 1 species